rnacentral:lncRNA from 10 species
AUUGACAUUAGUCAAGAUGUGGAAUCAAGCUAAGUGUCCAUCAACAGAUGAAAAGAUUUUAAAAAGUGAUAUAUAUGUAUGUGUGUGUAUAUACAUGUAUGUAUGUAUAUGUGUGUCUGUGUAUGUCUCUCUCUCAUAUAUAAUGAAAUAUUAUUCAGUCUUCAAAAAAAAGGAAUGCUUCCAUGCCUUCCACAUGUGACAACAUGGAUAAAUCUAGAGGGCAUUAUGCUAAGUGAAAUGAACCAGAAACAGGAAGACAAAUCCUGCGUGUAUCACUUACAUGUGGAAUCUAAAAAAGUUGAACUCUUUAGGCACCAAUAUUUUUAAAGUAGGAUCAUUUCUCCUAAUAAUAUGAAUUUCCAGUUUUUCCAGAAAGAUAGCAAGAAUUACAAUGCUGGGUCACAAUGGCACGAUAGUCUGAGGCUAAGGCCCACUUCAGAUAAAGCAUGCAUUCUUUGUUUACCUCAGUGUCUGCUCACCACAAUUUAUUCACUGCUAAUACCCUCUUGUUCCCUGCAGGUACAUCUGUGUGUGACACCUAUGUGUGUUUUUCAAAGAGCAAAAGUCUUUAUAACUAUAGGAGCUUAUUGAGAUAAAGAAAACUACAGCUUUUUAAAGACGGUUAUUUCCCUGCUGGGAUUUGGGAAGAUUUCUUCAUGUGAAAUAAGCAGAGGGAAUUUGAACUAAAUAACUCCAUUGCCUACUGAAGAAGCUGCCCAGAAAAGAGAAAGUUUGAUGCCAAGACUCAGAGGGGAUUGGAUCUCACCUUCGGAUCCCCAUUUACUCCACCCUGAUAAGGAGGCCUCUCUGGUCCCUUGGUGCUCCAUUCCUAACUGGCAGUCCGGGGACCCAAUGGUGUGUCCUACAUCUGGUCUUGUGCUCUGUAGUCUCGUCUGUUGGUUGUGUGUCUACAGAAGCCUUGAAAUAUUAACUUCAAAAUAUUAUCAUCACAGUAGACCACGCCUGGGCUGGAUUUCUUCCUGGGCAAGUCUCUAACUAGAACGCAAAAAAAGUCAAGCCAAAAGGUUGGGUCAUGUAUGACCUUCUGCAAGAGAUGUGGACAACAUCACCAAGAAUAUUGACAGCCUAGCCCAAGAGCUACGAGAAACUCAAAGAACACUGCUUUACAACCAAAAGAUUUUUACCCUCUGACUUCUUGGAAUCCACUGGAUUUGUUACCCUAAGUGGUUCAGCUCCUGGCUCGCUAAUACAAUGUUUUAUAUUAAUAUUUCUUUUUCAUUUUAGAUCUCUCUUUUUUUAGAUGUCUAAUCUUCAGGUAUCUAAAACAACUCAACUUUGCCACCAUCCCUCAAUGGGUUGUUUAACUGGUUUUACAGGACACUGUCAAAAGAAUCCCUGAAAGACUAUAUCUUAGGCCUUGCUUCAUUCACCCCACUAAGGUUUAUGACUACCUCUCAGUUGUUCAGUGAUUAAUGAUGUUUAUCUUUGAAACAGGGAGAAUGAAAAUGUUGAAUGUCACCUGACUUUUGUACUCUUUGAAAGUAGUGAUGGAUAAGAAAUUGCCUCAUAUUUUCAUGUUCUGGGAAAUCAUAAGAGAUUACUCUGCCCUUAAAUGUAAGACCCAUCUCCAUGCAUUCUCUGCAGUCCUAUAAGAACUGAAGUUACCUCCCUUGUUUACUUGCCUCUAUAAAACUCCAGUCCUUCUUCCUUUUCUUUUAGCUGUUCCUCAUUAAUGCACAUUUUCCAGGCUGCAGUAGCCUGAAUAAAAUCAUAUCUUUAAUUGUUCAGUGCAUUUUGCCUUUCAAAAACUUCUCUAAAUUCCAUUUUUUUCACCUGUGCUUCUUAAAUAUCUGAAGAUUCACAAAUAUAUUGCAAAAGUUUGUGAUUAUUUAAGUUGGUAGUGGAGUUCCUUUUCAAUACAAUUUUUCAAACAAAAAAUAAUUAUUUUCCCCUUUAUAACUGAACAGAUUUUUAGGACCUCAGAAUGCACUUUGAGUAUGCACAACAGGGAGUAGGAAUCUGAUUAACAUGCUGUUCUCUCUCUCAUGCUUGCAUUCUCUCUCUCUCUCCGUCUCUCUCUCAGUAUCUUUAUCAGUCAGCUGAACACUGCUAGAACAAUUUACACCCUAAUGGAUGAUAGUUAAAGACCAUAAUCACAAGGAACACUUAAUGUUGAACAAUAAAUGAUUAUUUUGCAAAUUCACCUCAGGGAUCUUCAUUAUAUCUAUAAAUUAUAUCCUUCAGAUAAAGACCAUCACAUGCCGUAUAAUAAUUUCUGUAGUAAUUUAAAAAUAUAUAUUAAAAAGAUAAAAGAUGGUACUGAUCAUAGCGCAU